AUCAGUUGGUGCACAAUUCGCAGCGAUUGCGACAGCGUGCUUCUCAACGGUCUGCGUCCUGAUCUAUCUCCUUCCAGGCUGCUGUACCACCUACCUGAUUUUAGCAAUGGAUCCAAGGCAUGUUCUGGAUAAUGGGGGUCAUUAAAGAACGAUGUCGACUAAGGAAAAUUUGGCUUGAUCUAAUUCAAGAUUGCAUCAGAUUGGACAAAGAGAGCGCUGUGUAUUUUCGAUUCCACGUGUUGCGGUCAAGAAAUGCAGAAGAGGCCUGACCUAAAGCAGAGCCGCGGAGACGAUUCAACGGUGAAUAAUAAUUUAAUAAAAGACCACAAAAUAACAAGCCACGAGGGACCACAGCAGCAUUGUAAACAUAAACUAAACAAAACAGGCAACAGGGUAUACUUUAGCCAGGGAGAGUGAAAGCAAGGAGCAACUGGAUGAGUUCGUCUGGUUCAAUAGGUGAACAAGGAUUGUGGU